AACGAACCAAGCUGCCGAUCGUCCUCAUCAGCGAGACAAUUAGCACCCCACUGCCCCGUCUCCGACCAGUAUUGCCGAUAACAGCCAUAACCACCCAACAGUCAGCCUACGACCCAUCCAUCUCUAGCGCCGGUGAUAAUUUUCAGUCCAAAAAUGAGAGAAAUGGGAGGCUGAAAACAGUCCAAAAAUCAAAGGAAAACGGGGUCUUGUUUUUUGGCUUUUAACUUUUCAUUUUCUAAAUUUCAAUCUAGUCUAAAUUCAUUUUCGAGUUCAAACGCUGAGAUACGUAUUGAAACUGAGGCGUUGAUUUUAGUGGUUGUUUCCGAAAUGGGUUGGAGUUGAAACGAGUGUUCGAACAUUGGAGUUGUUGAGGUCCCGUCCGAACAGAUUCAUGGUUCUUGCUCGAGCUUCAAUUGUUGUGUUUGUUCGCGACUUUGUUAUCAUUCGUUCAAGCCGGAAAAGAAUUAAUUGAUACAAGUCAUCUUUUGAGGUUCAUUUCUAACUCGUGUGUCUUAAAUCUUUUCUUGUUUGUUAUUGUGUGAAUGAAUUGGCGCUACUUUCCUUGAAUACAUUCGUUUGGGAUAAAUUGUUGAAUUUGCAUGAAGUAGGUCGUGGGAUAUUGGAUUGAAACUAGAUAAUAAUUAGAAUUAUUAUGUUUAUUGCCUUCAUCACUUAUCUACCGCUAGUAACAUGUUUACGCCGGCAACACUCGAGUAGGCAAGCCUUAGGAUUUUGUUAGUUUGAAGGUGACAGGUUGUCCCUUAAUUAAAUUUAUCUGGGGAAUGCCCCGUGAAGUUUGUAUAUAUUAUUAUCCGAGGUAUGCCCUGAAGUAUUUGCAAUUGGAGGCGGAAAGUAGAACUCUUAGUAUUUUUUUUACUUUUUAUUUUUCUUUAGGUGGGGAUGACCUCGAGCCUCUUGUGUGUUUAUUUUCCUUUUCUAUGUUUUCUACCUCAAUCGAAUAUUUUAAUAGUCAACUUGAUCAUGUACGCAACCAUUAACUUCACGGGACUUGGGGAGUGCCUAACGCCUUCUCCCCGAGUCAAAUGAACCCCCUUAUCUGAAUACUUGAUCAUGUACGCAACUGUGAACUUCACAGGACUUGGGGAAUGCCUAACACCUUCUCCCCGAGUCAAAUGAACCCCCUUACCUGAAUCUCUAGUGCGGACUUGGUUUUAGAGUCUGAAAAAUUUUAAAUAGAAAAAUAAAUAUUAAAAAAAAAAGGUAGCCUGGCAUACCAAAAUCAAAUGCCAGGUGGCGACUCCAAGUUAUUUUCCUUUUGAAACAAAUUUUGUCACUUUCAAGAUUGAAAACCCUUUUCAAGCCUUUACCAAAAAAAAUUAUUAAUUUAAGAGGGAUUAGUGAGGCUUGUUUAAAAAAAGGGUAUGACAUCUCUGGCGACUCUGCUGGGGAGUUGCGAGUUCGAGCUAGUACUUGAUUUUGUUGGCUCUUUAGGAUAUUCGGUUGAGGUUUUUAUGUGUUUGUUGGCUUUAUUUGAUUUUUAUUUUGCUUAUGUCAUUUUAUUAUUUGCUAGUUGCUUAUUUGUUUACAAUUUUUCCUUUCUGUGUUUACUGCUUUAUAACUGUCAUCAUAUGCAUUACCUGGUCAAUUCUUUCUGCAACAAGUCUCGGAGCACGCGCCGCGUGCACGAACUCUUCGUUGAGUCACCGGGGCCCGUUGGACAUAUGGAGUGGGUGGAAAGCUUGAGCAUCUACUAUGGACCUUACGCUCCCCCGAAUUGCCUUGUUAGUGAACCCCAAACUUAGGUCAGCCUUUAGAUCAUUUUUAUUUGCAUCAUGUCAUUUAGACCUAGCAGGGCUCGGUCCCAGGCACCGUGUCCAUUUGUAAGGAGCCUGUCCAAAUUUUAUCAAAAUGAACAUGUGGCCCAAAAUGACAUUUAAUCAUCCUAUGUGCUAAAUGUUGCAUAUUUAAGGGUAAAAAGGUCAUUCGACGGACCGAUAUUUGGAAAGAAGGGUGAAAUAUGAAGAAAGUAUGGCCCACCCGCAUUUUUCUUUCAUGGUUUUCAAAAAAUCAAAAAAAAGUUAAAAAAAAAAUCCAAAGAGAUUUUACACUUUCCCAUAAUUUUUUAAAAAUCCAAAAAAAAAAUAUUUCCAAAAAGAUUUUACACUUUUCCAUUAUUUUCUAAAAAUCCAAAAAAAUGAAAAAGAAAAUCCAAAAAUAUUUUACAUUUUCCAUCAUAUUCUAAAAAUUCAAAAAAAAUGCAAAAGAAACUCCAAAAAUAUUUUUCAUUUUCCAUCAUUUUUCAAAAAGACAAAAAUAUAUUACUUUUUUUUUUCGAAUUAGUUGCAUCUUCCCAAACUACGCGAACUUGAUUCUCGUCCUUUCGGGGUGAGUACGUAGGCAACCCACAUAGGGUCCGGUCUUCCUAGUGAGUCUUAGGUUAUUGGCUUUGUGGUGUCUUAGCCAAAUCUUGCAUGUUUAGCCACUUUUGUCCACAUCGGCUAUUCUUGUUAAAUGCGGUCAUUUUUGCAAAAAGUGGUUCAAUUACCCAUGUCUUAGAAUUUUUAGUCCGCAACUUGGUGUCAUAUUACUUUAAGGUCCGUCCUUUUGAGUUUGCAUCUUUAGCAAAUUUCGGCCACAUAGGUUAUUUUUGCAAAAUGAGCUAUUUCUGCAAAUUAAUUUUGGGCCAUGAUUAUUGUGUAUUUGAAUCCAUAUAAGCCUUAGUGUGGUAUUAUCAUGUCUUUGAUGUCACAUUUGUUGAGUUUGCACUAAUAGCCAUCCUUGGCCACAUAUGUUAAUUUUGCAAAAGUAGCCCAUCACGUCUUGCAUGUGUUCAAUAGAAGGUGUCGUGACGUCACAUGUAUCUUGAGUUGCUAACUCUUUUUAAUCUUAUUUUUCUUCCUUGCAUGUGUGCAAUAGAAGGUGUCGUGGCGUCACAUGUGUUUUGAGUUGCUAACGCUUUUUGAUAUUAUUUUUCCCAUUCAGGUAUGGAGAAAUUUGCUAGAGUUUGAACAUGACAACCACAGGGCCACUACAUUUAGGAGCUGCUUAUAGAUAUUUUUGUGUUUGAGUCUAUCAUUCAUGUUGUCUUUUACUUUCUAGUCUUGUACAGUAAUAUAGAGUCUUUUGCUAUAUUAUUUCCAAUUUUGUAUUUGAAAAACAAAAAAAUUAUUAUUA
rnacentral:lncRNA from 1 species